rnacentral:rRNA from 1 species
GGGUAGCCGGCCUGAGAGGGCGACCGGCCACACUGGGACUGAGACACGGCCCAGACUCCUACGGGAGGCAGCAGUGGGGAAUAUUGCUCAAUGGGCGCAAGCCUGAAGCAGCGACGCCGCGUGAGGGAUGAAGGCCUUCGGGUUGUAAACCUCUUUCAGCAGGGAAGAAGCGAAAGUGACGGUACCUGCAGAAGAAGCACCGGCUAACUACGUGCCAGCAGCCGCGGUAAUACGUAGGGUGCAAGCGUUGUCCGGAAUUAUUGGGCGUAAAGAGCUCGUAGGCGGUCUGUCGCGUCUGCUGUGAAAACUCGGGGCUUAACCCCGGGCCUGCAGUGGGUACGGGCAGACUAGAGUGCGGUAGGGGAGACUGGAAUUCCUGGUGUAGCGGUGAAAUGCGCAGAUAUCAGGAGGAACACCGGUGGCGAAGGCGGGUCUCUGGGCCGUAACUGACGCUGAGGAGCGAAAGCAUGGGUAGCGAACAGGAUUAGAUACCCUGGUAGUCCAUGCCGUAAACGUUGGGCGCUAGGUGUGGGGCUCAUUCCACGAGUUCCGUGCCGCAGCAAACGCAUUAAGCGCCCCGCCUGGGGAGUACGGCCGCAAGGCUAAAACUCAAAGGAAUUGACGGGGCCCCGCACAAGCGGCGGAGCAUGCGGAUUAAUUCGAUGCAACGCGAAGAACCUUACCAAGGCUUGACAUGCAGGGAAAUCCCACAGAGAUGUGGGGUCCGCAAGGGUCCUGCGCAGGUGGUGCAUGGUUGUCGUCAGCUCGUGUCGUGAGAUGUUGGGUUAAGUCCCGCAACGAGCGCAACCCUCGUUCUAUGUUGCCAGCACGUGAUGGUGGGGACUCAUAGGAGACUGCCGGGGUCAACUCGGAGGAAGGUGGGGAUGACGUCAAAUCAUCAUGCCCCUUAUGUCUUGGGCUUCACGCAUGCUACAUGGCCGGUACAAAGGGCUGCGAGACCGUAGGUGAGCGAAUCCCAAAAAAGCCGUCUCAGUUCGGAUUGGGGUCUGCACUCGACCCCAUGGAGUCGGAGUCGCUAGUAAUCGCAGAAUCAGAAUUCAACUUAGGGGAACUU